rnacentral:lncRNA from 1 species
CUAAUGAACAAAUGAACCUAGCCCAUAUUUCACUGGAAGACGGCUCAAAGAAAAGCUGAUGUAGCUAAUAGAAGUAUCAGCUGAGAGGCAGAAGCUGCUGCUAUCUUUGGGAAGUCUGAAACCCUGUUACAGUGGUUUGCAUGGCCGAGAUGGACUAGGAAGUUUGCUUGGCCUGGGUAUGUAGUGUCACCCGAGCCAAGGUCUGGUCACUGGGAUCCCAGCAAUAGAAGCCCUGUAUCUUGGAAACUCUUAAGAAUUAUUAGUGUGGCAUUCAAACAUUAUUUUCUUCAGCUAGCAAGCGGUUUCCUGAUGAUGCUUUCAAAACUGGGAACUUGAUUCUGCUUUAUUGUGUAAGUAUUGCUAUAUGCUGCGUUUUUCAGCAUUUCUGUCAGCCAACUGAUACAGCCCUUCAUAGCUCUUUGGGUGUGCUACAUAGUCACCUACGAUGCCAUGAAAUAGUAAGGCAGUGGGAAAGCAAGGGAAAUUGCUUGCUUAUUGAAAAUGUUUCUUAGCAAUCUUUAUUUGUGUCAAAGAGAUUAAGAAUGCUCCUAACGCUGCUCAAACAAAACUCAGUCUAUUCCUCCCUCAAAGUUUUCAUCCACUUCAUUGCAGUUACUUUAGCGGGGGUUUGCACUGUUGCUUAACUAAGCAGACCUGUGGCUCUGGAAUAUGAUAGAUGAUUAUCUUUUUGUAGCUAUAAAUUAUAGUUAUUUGACAGAUUUUUUUUUAAUGGCUUAAAUUACAGUAUGCUUAUCUCAGAGAAUGGAAAAAACUUCUUUUCUCCAAAAUGUCCAUCAGGGGUACUGAGCAAGGGCAGUAUUGAAGUCUCUAAUUAAUAUGGCACAAUCAAAAGCUCAUCUUUACUUUCAGGUGCUUCUAGCAGUUUUAAGGCUUUAUCAUCCAAAUUGUUGCCAGUGUGAAAGAAAAUUACCUUAAAGUAUUGUCUGGCUAUUCACAUACAAAACAAACCAGAAGCAAUCUUGUAGAUAAUGAAUGGUGCUUAUCUUCAGGUUACUUUAAGAAUGGGUAUGAGAACAGUUGCAAAAGUUCCUUGGAUGUAUUAAUUAUGUUAUCAACUUAGAGAAGAUGGCAGAUCUUAGAAAAGAAAUGGAGAGAUGCUUGUCUUUCCUCUCCCGUCUUUAACAACGAAGUACUAGACACUGUAGAAACGCUUUUUUUUUUUUUUUUUUUUUUUUUUCAGUACAAGUA